CUCUGACGAUCAGCUGCUAGCAUCGGACAGUACGUAGCUACAACGCAUCUGCGUCAGCGUCAGCAUGACUGACGCGAGCUCGACGCAUGACUGCAUCCGUACUGAUCACUCGUGCGAUGAGCUCAGUUCAGCAUGCAUGCAGUACUCAUCGUAUGCUGACUGCGUACUGCCGAUAGCUACGCUACUACUGCAGCAGCUCGUAUCGUAGUGCACUGAUCGAUACUGCGUAUCAUGCGCAGCUGUCGUAGAUGAUUGAUCAGAGCUACUCGACUGCAUAUACUACUGAGCUAGAGUUGUCAGAUGAGUGAUACGCGUGUAGCAGUGAAUGCGUAGAUAUGCGAGACACUGAUGCGAGCAGCUCUGGAUACACUGACGCUCAUGCACGAAGCGUGCGAGCAACAGAUAGAUACCGUGUAGUGCACGCCUGACGAUGUCACUAGCUGUCGGGUCUCAGGCCAUAGUAGCGCAGCUAUCGCGUGAGUAGACCGCCUGGGAGUACGUCGCAAGAUUAAAACUCAAAGAAUUGACGAGGACCCGCACAAGCAGUGGAUGAUGUGGAUUAAUUCGAUGCAACGCGAAAAUCCUUACCUACCCUUGACAUGUCUAGAAGGCCGAAGAGAUUUGGCUGUGCUCGCAAGAGAACUGGAACACAGGUGCUGCAUGGCUGUCGUCAGCUCGUGUCGUGAGAUGUUGGGUUAAGUCCCGCAACGAGCGCAACCCUUGUCAUUAGUUGCUACGAAAGGGCACUCUAAUGAGACUGCCGGUGACAAACCGGAGGAAGGUGGGGAUGACGUCAAGUCCUCAUGGCCCUUAUGGGUAGGGCUUCACACGUCAUACAAUGGUCGGGACAGAGGGUCGCCAACCCGCGAGGGGGAGCCAAUCCCAGAAACCCGAUCGUAGUCCGGAUCGCAGUCUGCAACUCGACUGCGUGAAGUCGGAAUCGCUAGUAAUCGCGGAUCAGCAUUCGACGAUCGCUU
rnacentral:rRNA from 1 species